rnacentral:lncRNA from 1 species
CAGUGUUGUUUCUCCUCGCUUCUUCAAGGUGGGAUUCAGUUAAAUUCCACUCUUUGCCAGUUAAAUUUCACUCUUUGCCUCUAUUGAAGAAGAAAUUACAGUGGCUCAUGGCCAAAACUGUACAAGGAUUCUGAGAUUGUUUAGUCCCCUCACGGAUUUCUAUACAAAUUAGCGUAAUCAGUUUUUUUGUUGAUUCUUAUUGAUGACUUUAUUGAUGAAUAAGUUUAGUGAACUGAAAUUGUAAGUUUUAUGUCCUUUUAUUGUGUUUUUUGAGCAAAUUUCACGUUUUUUUUAAGUAAAAUGUGAAUUUUAUUUUA